ACGAACGCUGGCGGCGUGCUUAACACAUGCAAGUCGAACGGAAAGGCCCUGCUUUUGUGGGGUGCUCGAGUGGCGAACGGGUGAGUAACACGUGAGUAACCUGCCCUUGACUUUGGGAUAACUUCAGGAAACUGGGGCUAAUACCGGAUAGGAGCUCCUGCUGCAUGGUGGGGGUUGGAAAGUUUCGGCGGUUGGGGAUGGACUCGCGGCUUAUCAGCUUGUUGGUGGGGUAGUGGCUUACCAAGGCUUUGACGGGUAGCCGGCCUGAGAGGGUGACCGGCCACAUUGGGACUGAGAUACGGCCCAGACUCCUACGGGAGGCAGCAGUGGGGAAUAUUGCACAAUGGGCGGAAGCCUGAUGCAGCAACGCCGCGUGCGGGAUGACGGCCUUCGGGUUGUAAACCGCUUUCGCCUGUGACGAAGCGUGAGUGACGGUAAUGGGUAAAGAAGCACCGGCUAACUACGUGCCAGCAGCCGCGGUGAUACGUAGGGUGCGAGCGUUGUCCGGAUUUAUUGGGCGUAAAGGGCUCGUAGGUGGUUGAUCGCGUCGGAAGUGUAAUCUUGGGGCUUAACCCUGAGCGUGCUUUCGAUACGGGUUGACUUGAGGAAGGUAGGGGAGAAUGGAAUUCCUGGUGGAGCGGUGGAAUGCGCAGAUAUCAGGAGGAACACCAGUGGCGAAGGCGGUUCUCUGGGCCUUUCCUGACGCUGAGGAGCGAAAGCGUGGGGAGCGAACAGGCUUAGAUACCCUGGUAGUCCACGCUGUAAACGGUGGGUACUAGGUGUGGGGUCCAUUCCACGGGUUCCGUGCCGUAGCUAACGCUUUAAGUACCCCGCCUGGGGAGUACGGCCGCAAGGCUAAAACUCAAAGGAAUUGACGGGGCCCCGCACAAGCGGCGGAGCAUGCGGAUUAAUUCGAUGCAACGCGUAGAACCUUACCUGGGUUUGACAUGGAUCGGGAGUGCUCAGAGAUGGGUGUGCCUCUUUUGGGGUCGGUUCACAGGUGGUGCAUGGCUGUCGUCAGCUCGUGUCGUGAGAUGUUGGGUUAAGUCCCGCAACGAGCGCAACCCUUGUUCACUGUUGCCAGCACGUUAUGGUGGGGACUCAGUGGAGACCGCCGGGGUCAACUCGGAGGAAGGUGGGGAUGACGUCAAGUCAUCAUGCCCCUUAUGUCCAGGGCUUCACGCAUGCUACAAUGGCUGGUACAGAGAGUGGCGAGCCUGUGAGGGUGAGCGAAUCUCGGAAAGCCGGUCUCAGUUCGGAUUGGGGUCUGCAACUCGACCUCAUGAAGUCGGAGUCGCUAGUAAUCGCAGAUCAGCAACGCUGCGGUGAAUACGUUCCCGGGGCUUGUACACACCGCCCGUCAAGUCAUGAAAGUUGGUAACACCCGAAGCCGGUGGCCUAACCGUUGUGGGGGAGCCGUCGAAGGUGGGACUGGUGAUUAGGACUAAGUCGUAACAAGGUAGCCGUACCGGAAGGUGCGGCUG
rnacentral:rRNA from 1 species